rnacentral:rRNA from 1 species
UACAGAGGGGGCAAGCGUUGUUCGGAAUUACUGGGCGUAAAGCGUGCGUAGGCGGUUCGUUAUGUCUGCUGUGAAAGCCCCGGGCUUAACCUGGGAAUGGCAGUGGAAACUGGCGGGCUUGAGUGUGGCAGAGGGGGGUGGAAUUCCGCGUGUAGCAGUGAAAUGCGUAGAGAUGCGGAGGAACACCGAUGGCGAAGGCAGCCCCCUGGGCUGACACUGACGCUGAGGCACGAAAGCGUGGGGAGCAAACAGG